CCUACGGGUGCUGCAGUGGGGAAUAUUGGACAAUGGGCGAAAGCCUGAUCCAGCCAUGCCGCGUGUGUGAAGAAGGCCUUCGGGUUGUAAAGCACUUUCAGUGGGGAAGAAAGCCUUGGGGCUAAUACCCUCGAGGAAGGACAUCACCCACAGAAGAAGCACCGGCUAACUCCGUGCCAGCAGCCGCGGUAAUACGGAGGGUGCGAGCGUUAAUCGGAAUUACUGGGCGUAAAGCGCGCGUAGGCGGUCUGAUAAGCCGGUUGUGAAAGCCCCGGGCUCAACCUGGGAACGGCAUCCGGAACUGUCAGGCUAGAGUGCAGGAGAGGAAGGUAGAAUUCCCGGUGUAGCGGUGAAAUGCGUAGAGAUCGGGAGGAAUACCAGUGGCGAAGGCGGCCUUCUGGACUGACACUGACGCUGAGGUGCGAAAGCGUGGGUAGCAAACAGGAUUAGAUACCCUAGUAGUC
rnacentral:rRNA from 1 species